rnacentral:rRNA from 1 species
GCCAACACUGCAAGUUCGAGCGGUAGCACAGAGAGCUUGCUCUCGGGUGACGAGCGGCGGACGGGUGAGUAAUGUCUGGGAAACUGCCUGAUGGAGGGGGAUAACUACUGGAAACGGUAGCUAAUACCGCAUAACGUCGCAAGACCAAAGAGGGGGACCUUCGGGCCUCUUGCCAUCAGAUGUGCCCAGAUGGGAUUAGCUAGUAGGUGGGGUAACGGCUCACCUAGGCGACGAUCCCUAGCUGGUCUGAGAGGAUGACCAGCCACACUGGAACUGAGACACGGUCCAGACUCCUACGGGAGGCAGCAGUGGGGAAUAUUGCACAAUGGGCGCAAGCCUGAUGCAGCCAUGCCGCGUGUAUGAAGAAGGCCUUCGGGUUGUAAAGUACUUUCAGCGGGGAGGAAGGUGUUGUGGUUAAUAACCACAGCAAUUGACGUUACCCGCAGAAGAAGCACCGGCUAACUCCGUGCCAGCAGCCGCGGUAAUACGGAGGGUGCAAGCGUUAAUCGGAAUUACUGGGCGUAAAGCGCACGCAGGCGGUCUGUCAAGUCGGAUGUGAAAUCCCCGGGCUCAACCUGGGAACUGCAUUCGAAACUGGCA